GCGCCUCCGCCGCCCCCGCGCCCCCGCGCCUCCCAUCUCGCUUCUCAGUUGUACUCCACUUCUGCCCUCGUCUCGCGGUGCACGCGUCGCCGACGCCUGAGCUUCUCCUCGCCAGGCCAGGUGCUGGGUUCCUCCGCGGCAGAUCCAUUAUGUGCUAGCCACGUACGUGUACGACUACAACCACCCCUUGCCCUACGUGCUUCCCCUUCGAUCUCCUUGUCCAGAUCGACGACACCGAGGAAAAAAAUAAUCCACUCCAAAACGACCGUCUCGCGGCGCCGGCGCCAGAGCUCCCACCUCCCUUCUCCUCGCCUGGAUCCACAACCGAGUUCAAGCCGCGGCCAGAUCCAUCCUGCGAGGUACAGUACUCUGACGAAGUACCUUCUUCAGAGUGCAGAGGAGCAAAAUUGUUCUAAUCAGUAGCAGCAUAACACAAUCAGUUGGAUCAGCGGAAGAUGAGCAUCAGCAGCACGGGCAGAGGAGCAGUAGUAGCUAGUUCUUCAGGUACAAUGGAAAACAAGCAAGCUUAUAUCUGAAAAAUGAGUUAGCUAGGCUCAGAAUUUUGAGUUGGCCCCUUUACAUAAGUUUUAGAUAAAGAUUCAAGGUUUCUUUAGAGUAUUUAUUUUGCUGUACAGUUUGAGAGCAUCUAUCAGUUUAGUUUGCUGUCCCGAAAUAUAUGUUCCUGGGUACAGUAUUUUGUUAUGGGAGAUUAGGCCCUGUUAGAGGUGGUAUUAAAAUAAAGUUACAAGAUGGAAAUUUUAGAGGCUGUUCUGUAGAUACCUAAAACACAUAUCACUUGUCAGGUUUCGUUCGGUAUAUUAAAUCCUAUUAAAUUAUCAAAGUGGGAUGUACUAUGUUGGACAGAAUUUUAUGUUUGGACUUGGGUGAAUGUAACCAAACUUAUACUCUUAGAUUUUGUCAUAGUUGAUGGUGUGAGGACUUAUAAUGUGAUAAAGUAUAUACAUUGUUGCAACACCUAUAUAAUGUGAUAAAGUAUAUACAUUGUUAUCUAA